rnacentral:tRNA from 1 species
GGGCCCGUGGUCUAGUCCGGUAUGAUAACUCCUUUACACGGAGUAGGUCACCAGUUCAAAUCUGGUCGGGCCCA